rnacentral:rRNA from 1 species
UACGUAGGGCGCAAGCGUUGUCCGGAAUCAUUGGGCGUAAAGAGCUCGUAGGUGGUCUGUUACGUCUGCUGUGAAAACCUAGGGCUUAACCCUGGGCCUGCAGUGGAUACGGGCAGACUAGAGGUAGGUAGGGGAGAAUGGAAUUCCCGGUGUAGCGGUGAAAUGCGUAGAGAUCCGGAGGAACACCGAAGGCGAAGGCAGUGUCCUGGAGAGUGACUGACGCUGAGGUGCGAAAGCCAGGGGAGCGAACGGG